CAGUCGAGCGAGUCUGCCUUGAAGAUCGGAGUGCUUGCACUCUGUGAAACAAGAUACAGGCUAGCGGCGGACGGGUGAGUAACACGUGGGUAACCUGCCCAAGAGAUCGGGAUAACACCUGGAAACAGAUGCUAAUACCGGAUAACAACAGAUGAUGCCUAUCAACUGUUUAGAAGAUGGUUCUGCUAUCACUCUUGGAUGGACCUGCGGUGCAUUAGCUAGUUGGUAGGGUAACGGCCUACCAAGGCGAUGAUGCAUAGCCGAGUUGAGAGACUGAUCGGCCACAUUGGGACUGAGACACGGCCCAAACUCCUACGGGAGGCAGCAGUAGGGAAUCUUCCACAAUGGACGCAAGUCUGAUGGAGCAACGCCGCGUGAGUGAAGAAGGGUUUCGGCUCGUAAAGCUCUGUUGUUGGUGAAGAAGGACGGGGGUAGUAACUGACCUUUGUUUGACGGUAAUCAAUUAGAAAGUCACGGCUAACUACGUGCCAGCAGCCGCGGUAAUACGUAGGUGGCAAGCGUUGUCCGGAUUUAUUGGGCGUAAAGCGAGUGCAGGCGGUUCGAUAAGUCUGAUGUGAAAGCCUUCGGCUCAACCGGAGAAUUGCAUCAGAAACUGUCGAGCUUGAGUACAGAAGAGGAGAGUGGAACUCCAUGUGUAGCGGUGAAAUGCGUAGAUAUAUGGAAGAACACCGGUGGCGAAGGCGGCUCUCUGGUCUGUUACUGACGCUGAGGCUCGAAAGCAUGGGUAGCGAACAGGAUUAGAUACCCUGGUAGUCCAUGCCGUANACGAUGAGUGCUAAGUGUUGGGAGGUUUCCGCCACUCAGUGCUGCAGCUAACGCAUUAAGCACUCCGCCU
rnacentral:rRNA from 1 species